GGCAUGGUAGCCGAGUGGUUAAAGCGCUUAUAGCUACUUACUCGGAAUCGAAGGUUGAUGGUUCGAUUCCAUCCUGGGACAAGUUA